AAGACCUUGCACUUUUGGAGCGGCCGAUGUCUGAUUAGCUAGUUGGUGGGGUAAUGGCCUACCAAAGCUUCGAUCAGUAGCUGGUCUGAGAGGACGGCCAGCCACACUGGGACUGAGACACGGCCCAGACUCCUACGGGAGGCAGCAGUGGGGAAUUUUGGACAAUGGGCGCAAGCCUGAUCCAGCCAUGCCGCGUGAGUGAAGAAGGCCUUCGGGUUGUAAAGCUCUUUCAAUCGGGAAGAAAAGGUUGCGACUAAUAAUCGCAAUUCAUGACGGUACCGGAAGAAGAAGCACCGGCUAACUACGUGCCAGCAGCCGCGGUAAUACGUAGGGUGCGAGCGUUAAUCGGAAUUACUGGGCGUAAAGGGUGCGCAGGCGGUUUUGUAAGUCAGAUGUGAAAUCCCCGGGCUUAACCUGGGAACU
rnacentral:rRNA from 1 species